rnacentral:ncRNA from 2 species
AAUCUCCUCAAUCUAAUCGGUUCUAGCAGGAAACAGCUGCUAGAGGUAAUGGGGAAAGUUCGGUGUAAGUCCGGCGCUGUCCCGCAACUGUAAUUGGUAGUUGGUAGUUAGUAAAAAGGCGAGAGGCAAGAGGCAAGAGGCGAGUGGGAAAUUUUGAAUUUUGAGUUGUCUUGCUCCCUCAGCUCCCAAGAGCCUCCUCAGCUCCCUCAGCUCUCUUCUCCCCAGCUCCCGCAUGAGUCAGAAUACCCACCGAUAGAAAUUGUUUAAC